UACAUGUGGGGCAAGCGUUGUUCGGAAUUACUGGGCAUAAAGGGUGCGUAGGCGGCUUGUUAAGUCAGGGGUGAAAUCCCACGGCCCAACCGUGGAACUGCCUUUGAUACUGGCGAGCUUGAGUGCGUGAGGGGUAACCGGAACGAGUAGUGUAGCGGUGAAAUGCGUAGAUAUACUCGGAAGGCCAAAGGCGAAGGCAGGUUACUGGUACGCAACUGACGCUGAGGCACGAAAGCGUGGGGAGCGAACAGG
rnacentral:rRNA from 1 species